CUUUUCGAGGUAGGAGUCGACUCCUGUGAGGUAUGGUGCUGGGUGCAGAUGCAGUGUGGCUCUGGAUAGCACCUUAUGGACAGUUGUGUCCCCAAGGAAGGAUGAGAAUAGCUACUGAAGUCCUAAAGAGCAAGCCUAACUCAAGCCAUUGGCACACAGGCAUUAGACAGAAAGCUGGAAGUUGAAAUGGUGGAGUCCAACUUGCCUGGACCAGCUUAAUGGUUCUGCUCCUGGUAACGUUUUUAUCCAUGGAUGACUUGCUUGGGGUUUUUAAUGACCACAACAAGCAAGCAUGCAGCUUACUGCUUGAAAGGGUCUUGCCUCACCCAAGCUAGAGUGCAGUGGCCUUUGAAGCUUACUACAGCCUCAAACUUCUGGGCUCAAGUGAUCCUCAGCCUCCCAGUGGUCUUUGUAGACUGCCUGAUGGAGUCUCAUGGCACAAGAAGAUUAAAACAGUGUCUCCAAUUUUAAUAAAUUUUUGCAAUCCA
rnacentral:lncRNA from 1 species